CAGCCGCCACGGUAAUACGGAGGGGGCUAGCGUUGUUCGGAAUCACUGGGCGUAAAGCGCACGUAGGCGGCUUUGCAAGUCAGAGGUGAAAGCCCGGGGCUCAACCCCGGAAUAGCCUUUGAGACUGCAUCGCUCGAACGUCGGAGAGGUGAGUGGAAUUCCGAGUGUAGAGGUGAAAUUCGUAGAUAUUCGGAAGAACACCAGUGGCGAAGGCGGCUCACUGGACGACUGUUGACGCUGAGGUGCGAAAGCGUGGGGAGCAAACAGGAUUAGAUACCCGCGUAGUCCCUGUCUCUUAUAC
rnacentral:rRNA from 1 species